CUUCCUCCGGGAUGACUUCACGCAGCUCGUCCUUGCUCAGGGAGAAGAGCUGAGCCCCCGUCAGGACCCCCAAACACGUCACCGUCCUGAGAGGGGGGACGCCGGCUUUUAGGGUUUCGACCGCACUACUGCACGCCUUACAGGGGGGGGCCGGGCGGCGACGGGACUCUCCACGUGAGCGACGGGCUCCAGGAUGUUGAAGGGGACGAAGCCCACCUGGUUGAACCGAUUGCGACACUUCCACCAGCGCUUGGAGGCCUCCAGCACCUGUCGGGCGGCAAACAGGAAAUGGAACCUCCAGACAGGAAAUGCCCCCCAACCUCCCCGGCGACGGCAGCCACCGACCGAGCGUGCGUCCAGUUGGGCCCCAGCGACGUCCACAGCUGCCUCUCGUCCACGCUCAGGUUCUCCUGCAGCAGGGACACGGCAGCGUCGGUCAGGGCGGGGCUGGCCACCGAGG